UAGCCUCUACCUCCUGGGCUCAAGAGAUCCUUCUGCCUCAGCCUCCUGAGUAGCUGGUACUGCAGACAUGUUACCACCAUGGCUGGCUAGUUUUUUUUGAAUUUUAUUUUUUGUGGAUAUUUGGACCCCUUUAGAUAUAAAUAAAGAGCUUUUAUAAAAUAUCUAUGAGAAUACUAUGCAGCCAUAAAAAAUGAUGAGUUCAUGUCCUUUGUAGGGACAUGGAUGAAAUUGGAAAUCAUCAUUCUCAGUAAACUAUCGCAAGAACAAAAAACCAAACACCGCAUAUUCU
rnacentral:lncRNA from 10 species